rnacentral:rRNA from 1 species
CGAUUCAAGUAUUCUCUGAGUACAGACCAGUGAUAUAUUUUGUGAUACCUUGUAUGGUUCAGAAACAAGUAGCUUGGUUGUUGUUGAAGGUAUACUACUUUCAUCCAGCUGGUACGUACGGUACUUCUUUUCGGUAUUGUAGAAGCUAAACUAUGGAAGACGGUAAUAUAGGACGUUCUAGUGAGCAUACAAAGUCGUUAUAGUAAACAAGUUUGAAGACUCAACGAGAACUCAGGUUUUUAGUUUUUGUUUUCUACAUGUUGUUUGACCGAACGAAUUUACUUUUCAUUUGUUUAUGAACUAACGUGAAGGAGAGAUUAAUUUAGAUACGUAGAGAGGAUCAAAAGAAUAAAGAGAGAUUAAAAAUUCAAAUUAAUCCGUCGUAUAUCCGGUUUCGGUUUUUGUAUGAAUAAAAUUAAGUUACUUCUUUGGGUCAAUGUACGUGUCAAUAGUUCUUUGUCGGUACUUAUAUAUCGGGUCGAAACAUCUUUUAUUUCGUAGUUUGGUCGUAAGUUCAAGAAUGUUUGUGUGCAUGAUGUCUAGGUACUCUCAAACGUACAAUGUAUUUUCAAACGUAUACGACUAUUUUUUUUCAUCACGGUUUGUUCCCACUCCUUAUGUUUUCCCCUUUAAUACAUCGUAAUAUAACCUUUGGUAGAUGUAGCCAGUCUCAAUCGAGCUCAAAUUUGAUCUGUAUGUCGAGACUUGAUGUUGCCAACUCUUGGUUGUUCAGUAACACUUUGAACUAAUCAAUCUAACGAUAUCGGGUCGUCGAGACACGACUGUAACUAUCGGAGAAGAUAAAAGGUCAUAACUUUAUGUUCGUCUUUUUUCGAGCUCGUUGAUUGGUGGUGUAUUUGUAACACUCUGGUACGUUGAGGCGAUUAAUAGUAUUUGCGUUUUCUCCUCUUAAAUCCUUGACUGUUAAGGAAAUAGUUCAUGAUAUUCGUCUAGAAAGUAGCUCGUUCCACCUUGAAUUGGUUAGACCUGUGAUAUUUAGUUGUGUUGUACUCCUCCCCGGGGAAUUGAAAAUAGUUGUUCUUCCUUCUUUGGGCCCACGUCUUAAGUAGAGACCGACCCAACUUCGUGGUCUAUCAAUGAGAUCGUGACUGGAUCCCGAAGCAAAAGUUAGACUUGUAAUCGUCACGAAUAGCUGGUUAUUCAGAAUCCGAACUCCAAUUUGAACUCACUUUAUUUUCUAUUGAAAGUAUACAGGUCACGUCACAUUCAGUUACUAUUGAAAUUACAGAAGCUUUACGACACUUUAUAAUCUGGAUUUUGUUGAUAUAUUUCCGAACCUUAUUCUAAAUAUACUUGGUUUGCUCGAUGUAGAGCUGUUAUUAGACCUUUGUAUUUGUUUGCUGUCUCAUUUAUUUUUUAUAUGUUUGUACUUUAUCAAGACCACAAAGAACUGGACGUGAAAAUCUAAGCUCAACGGGUCGUUUGUAUUAUAGUCCGAGUUAUGGGUAACGAAACUUAUAUUCAAGUCUUGCCUGAGACCCUAUCAAAAGGGAACUGGAAAAGGUGGGAUCAGUGCACGACCACGUUACAACGAGUUCUAGUAAGUUACCAUUUCGUACUGUGACUUAGUUUGAUGUGAAAAAAAAUGAAGUAUAAUGUGUCAUGUGUAUCUUUGUUCGAUAGUACAUUUACGGACUUCAUCGUCUAAUAGGAGGAAAGCUAAACUACCAGACAACGUAGUAGCUAAUAUCAGACUACGUUUGAGACUACCAGACUACUUAGUAGAUAAAUAUCACUGUAAUGUUUGAUCACAUAUACACACAUUAAUAUACGUGUAUGUGUGCGAUACUUCGUACUUUGUACUGUUAUUUUUACGUUUCCUCUGGGUCUUUUUUUUGUUAUCUGAAAAUCAAGUGUAACUACUGGGAAAAAGGGUAAGAUCGGGAAAAAUAAAAACUUGGUUCGUAGUAUGGUGUCAAUUGUCACUUGUUUGUUCAGGGAAAGAUGUAGAAAAGUGUUGAGGUUCGUCGUCGAACUAUUAUUCUCAGACCCACCGUUGAUAUUUAGUCGUACCGUACUACCCGCACCUGUGUAUCUCGUACUCUCGCUCUCUCUUGUGGUCACCGAAUGGUAAUCGAUACAGCCUCACCUUCAUUUUAGCCCAGGUAGCCUGUGCAUCGCGCCUUCCGUAAUCUCACCUUUUUCUUAGUGGCACGUGUGGUAUACCGCCGAGACAGGACGUGGACGUACCCGUUCCUCUGUGUAACUAUGUCAUCCCUACAGUUAAUGUCACUUAUGCAUGUCACAAGAGUCGUCGUUUCUUUGUGAAGUAUUAGAGAGAGAACUAAAAAGUCAGAGAUUUCGUUUAUUUAUUACUAACUUUAGACGCCGUGUUGACCUCCUUUUCCUCUAAGUGUAUUAGUGAAUUUGGAGGUAUGUGAUCUAUGUCUCAGGUUCAAAAUCAAACGUAGAAUAUUGUACAAGACAAUGUUUCUACGUUUGACGUGAUGGCUAAAGUGUUAAAAGGUGGCCGUGAAAAACCUUGCAGGCAACGCAUGACCACCGUGAAAACCUUGCCUUUCGUGUUCCGGAAGAUAUCCUUUGAUAUCAACGUACUAUGUAUCCUAUUUAAAAGGUUUAUUUCCACCGGUUGUAUUAAAUAAAUCAGACUUUGAAGUCCACGACGUUUAUUAACACGAAGUUAACAAGUUCUUCUGUUCAACCUAACGUCCUGGAGAGGAGAAGAGGAGAGACUUCUUUAUAAAUAAUAAUAGGUACCCCAGCCUCGUUGUCGCAGAACCCUUCCCUUCUUCGUUCGUGUAUCUCUUGAAGGUACCGUGCCGACGAUCACGCACCAAUACAUAUACCUCGGGCUCCACCUAGGCUGCGAGCCUCGUCUCCACGAGCUGCUGCUACCGCGACCGCCUAGACCCGCACGGUACCGGCGGCGGACUGGACGAGAACCAGCGCCGCCUAGACGGAGGGAGAAAAGAACAGGAUAGAAGUCCUCCGUGGAAGCCGAACCUUGUACCCCCCUCGUGGUGUAAGAUCUUCCUCCGACUCCCUCCGAGUUAGCGACCACCCUUUCCGCCACCGCGCUCGUUUAGCCGGCCGUUCAGUCCCCCGCCGCCGCUUCCCUCGCACACACCACACCCCCUUUCUCUUUCUCUAUUCUACGCCACCACCGGCCCACCUCUUUCUCUAAAAAAAAACUCCCCCUCCACCUCUUUC